AUUGAACGCUGGCGGCAGGCCUAACACAUGCAAGUCGAGCGGAAGCAGGGAGCUUGCUCCUGGUUUCAGCGGCGGACGGGUGAGUGAUGCCUAGGAAUAUGCCUGGUAGUGGGGGAUAACGUCUGGAAACGGGCGCUCAUACCGCAUAAGUCCUGAGGGAGAAAGUGGGGGAGCUUCGGACCUCACGCCAUCAGAUGAGCCUAGGUCGGGUUAGCUAGUUGGGGGGGUAAAGGGCUACCAAGGCGACGAUCCGUAACUGGUCUGAGAGGAUGAUCAGACACACUGGAACUGAGACACGGUCCAGACUCCUACGGGAGGCAGCAGUGGGGAAUAUUGGACAAUGGGCGAAAGCCUGAUCCAGCCAUGCCGCGUGUGUGAAGAAGGUCUUCGGAUUGUAAAGCACUUUUAGUUGGGAGGAAGAGCAGUAGGUUAAUACCUUGCUGUUUUGACGGUACCAACAGAAUAAGCACCGGCUAACUUCGUG
rnacentral:rRNA from 1 species